rnacentral:lncRNA from 1 species
UGUCUCGCUCGCCCCUAUCGCUCUCUGCCUCUCUCCCACCGCAUCUCCCUCGCCCGCGUCGCCGCGCAUCUCCCUCGCCCGCGUAGCAGCCGCAUCUCCCUCGCCUGCUUCGCUGCAUCUCCCUUAACCGCGUCGCCGCUGCCCUCUUUCUCUCGCGUCAUCCCUGGUUCGUCGUCCCAAGAUUCGAUUUUUACCACCGGAGGAGCUGCUGGAGUCGGAGGAGCUGCGGGAAGAGGAACUGUGGAGGUGAGGAGCUGCCGGAUCUGUGCGGCGGUGGGGAGCUGCUGCAUCUGUGCGGCGGUGACGAGGAGUAGUAGGCGAUGGUGAGCAGUUGGACCCACGACGGCACCUCCGCCCUGCCCAAGCGCGUCGUACACCACCUGACGCCGAAGGAUGCGGUCGAACACCACCUGCAGCAGCUUGUCGUCGCCGCGGCCGCCACCGUCCUCCUCGCGCGCGGCCUCCAUGAGCGACUCCUUGAGGAGCAGCCGUUGCGUCAGGUGGCGAGUGGAUGGACGUGGUGGCCCGGCUGUGCGUCCAUGGAUGAUGGCUCCUUGAGGUAUUGCUCUCUCUUCCUCUUCCUGUCUCUUCUCCGUGAAAACUUAAUGUCAGAUGGAGAUUCUUGUGUACUGCUAGGAGUAGUGCUAGCAAAUGGAGAUUCUUGUGAUCUUGUGUACUGCUAGGAGUAGUGCUAGCAAAUGUUACAGAUGCUAAUGUCAGUUAUGAGGCCUUAAUUGCCUACCGAGCUCUCUGUAAUCAACCAAGUAGCAGCAGCACUCCAACAUUUCUUCAAAGGUUUACUGUUGAUGGUCGAUUGUUUUGCUUCAGUUGUCGUUCGGUUCAGAGUUCCAAUACUUUGUUGUGCUUGCAGGGCGACGCUGACGGUGGUGCUUGUGGUGCCCGACGCUGACGAUUUUACUACUCCUCUUGCAAUAGUACUGUUGUUUCCUCACCAACAUCUGUGCUAGUGUAGUUUUGGUUAAAUUUGCAAUGAGCUAAUGGAGUAUUGUACUCCUCUUGCAGCAGUACUGUACUGUACUCAUCUUACAGUAGUUAGUGAGUACUCCAACAGUACUUACUGUAGUUUCUCUCCAUCUUCUCUCAAUUUUAAAUGAAACUUUAAUUUAAACUUUAAAAUUAACUGAAGCUUUACUUCAAAACUGCAAUUGUUGUGCUGUAGUUUAUGUAGUUUCAGUACUGUUUUGGAGUAGUGGUUGCAAAAUUUGGAGUAGCAAGCAGAUCCAGUAUUUGGAGUACCUGAAUAAUCAGAUUUGGAGUUUCUGAUUUACUGUCAUAUUAGCUUGGAGCAGUAGCAGUGCUUGCUCUGCUCUUCUCUUCUCAAAUAAAAAAAGUGAGUUCAAGAUUUGGAGUAGUGUAGAUCUUCUCUUCUCUUUUCAGUUAAUUUAAAUUAACUCAAACCUUUCAGAUUUGGAGUAUUAAUUAAACUAACUUAAACCCUUUUAUGUUAAUUAAACUAAUUAAAUGAAAUCUUUUGCUGUUUAGUGGAGUAAUUUAGUGUAUAUUGCUCCUCUCCUCUCCUCUCUCUUCUCUUCUCUUCUCUUCUCUUCUCUUCUCUUCAGUACUCCACUAAAUUGGAGUACUUGGCAGUAGGAGUAGUUCUUGGAGUAGGAGUAUAGUGUAGGACAGCAGUAGUAUAUUUAUUAAUAAAGCAUUGCAGUACUCCUGGACGUUAGUACUCCAUGGAGUUACUCCAAUAGCUUAAUCCAGUUACUUACUCUCUUCUUAUCUCUCCUCUCUUCUCUUCUCUUAUCUGGAAAUUAACUGUAAAUUAAAACCUUUCCUGUUAAUUAAAUCUAAAAUAAACCUUUUCUGUUAAUUAAAUCUAAAUUAAACUUUUUCUGCUAAUUAAAUCUAAAUUAAUCCUCUCCUUUUCUAUUCCACUCCUUUCCUCUCCUAGCCCUUUCCUCCUAAGAAAAUAAGAGAAUUCACUCCACACAAGCCGAUGCAAACAUAUGGAGUUAAAAUGAUCAUACAAAUGGAGCAAAAAAAUCCACUCCACACAAGCCUUUGCAAACAUACUCAGAUAUGGAUGAUAAUCAUACUCCACACAAAUAAUAACAAGGAUGCAACAAGCAUACUCCACAAGCCUCAUCUCAGGUCUCUUGACAACAAGCAUUCAGGCCUCUUCCAUCACUGAACCCUCGCCAUUAGCCCUAAGUUGUGUAGGGCAUUUGCGUAAACCUCUUGAGGGCACGACAAUCUUGGAGGUAGCUUCCCAAGACCCUCAAGUCUUUCCUUGUUCACAUGUGGUAUUUUAUACCCAUUGCCCCCAGCAUGGUUCAGGAUCUCAAUCAUGCACGUUUGCAGAGUUAGGAAAAUUCUGUUGAGCUUGUAAACCUCAUAGCCAUCAAAUUCCUCCAAAACACCAUUAAUAAGGUCUUGUAGUGUUUUAGGACUCAGACAAUCUGUCAGGGAUUGCAGCGAGUUGAAAAACCCAAG